rnacentral:rRNA from 1 species
CCUACGGGUGGCAGCAGUGAGGAAUAUUGGUCAAUGGACGAGAGUCUGAACCAGCCAAGUAGCGUGAAGGAUGACUGCCCUAUGGGUUGUAAACUUCUUUUAUAUGGGAAUAAAACGUUCCACGUGUGGGAUUUUGUAUGUACCAUAUGAAUAAGGAUCGGCUUACUCCGUGCCAGCAGCCGCGGUAAUACGGAGGAUCCGAGCGUUAUCCGGAUUUAUUGGGGUUAAAGGGAGCGUAGGUGGAUUGUUAAGUCAGUUGUGAAAGUUUGCGGCUCAACCGUAAAAUUGCAGUUGAAACUGGCAGUCUUGAGUACAGUAGAGGUGGGCGGAAUUCGUGGUGUAGCGGUGAAAUGCUUAGAUAUCACGAAGAACUCCGAUUGCGAAGGCAGUUCACUGGACUGCAACUGACACUGAGGCUCGAAAGUGUGGGUAUCAAACAGGAUUAGAUACCCUUGUAGUC